GGGCCUAUAGCUCAGUUGGUAGAGCGCGUCGUUCGCAAUGACGAGGUCAGCGGUUCGAAUCCGCUUAGGUCCACCA
rnacentral:tRNA from 1 species